CAGCAGCCGCGGUAAUACAGAGGGUGCGAGCGUUAAUCGGAUUUACUGGGCGUAAAGCGUGCGUAGGCGGCUUUUUAAGUCGGAUGUGGAAUCCCUUAGCUUAACUUAGGAAUUGCAUUCGAUACUGGGAAGCUAGAGUAUGGGAGAGGAUGGUAGAAUUCCAGGUGUAGCGGUGAAAUGCGUAGAGAUCUGGAGGAAUACCGAUGGCGAAGGCAGCCAUCUGGCCUAAUACUGACGCUGAGGUACGAAAGCAUGGGGAGCAAACAGGAUUAGAUACCCGGGUAGUCCCUGUCUCUUAUAC
rnacentral:rRNA from 1 species